rnacentral:rRNA from 1 species
UGGGGAAUAUUGCACAAUGGGGGAAACCCUGAUGCAGCGACGCCGCGUGGGUGAAGACGGCCUUCGGGUUGUAAAGCCCUGUCUUCGGGGACGAAUCAAUGACGGUACCCGAGGAGGAAGCCACGGCUAACUACGUGCCAGCAGCCGCGGUAAUACGUAGGUGGCGAGCGUUGUCCGGAAUUACUGGGUGUAAAGGGAGCGCAGGCGGGGAUCUAAGUUGGAUGUGAAAUGCCGCAGCUCAACUGCGGAGCUGCAUCCAAAACUGGAUUUCUUGAGUGGGGUAGAGGUAGGCGGAAUUCCUAGUGUAGCGGUGAAAUGCGUAGAUAUUAGGAGGAACACCAGUGGCGAAGGCGGCCUACUGGGCCCUAACUGACGCUGAGGCUCGAAAGCGUGGGGAGCAAACA